ACUCCCAAGCUGCCACCUUGGUUUAGCUGGCAGGGAAUGUUUACAGACAACUUAAAAACCUUUAAAAACAAAAGUCCCUCACCUCAGAGGCACAAAUGCUAUAUUAACAAGAAAUAGCCCAAGCAGUUGAUAUUAAAUAAGAACCAAAUUCAAACCAUUACCCAUCUCUUAAACUGAAUGUUUUUUUUUUUUAAGGUUUGAAUGUUUUUGUAACUUUUCCCUUCCUAUUUUUGCUGGCCUCACUGUCUGCACCUCUUAAUUCCAGUUGGGGCCACAAAUGGAGAUGUCAAAAUACCACAAGAGAGACUGUUCUCAAAGCAUUUCUGGUUCAGUUGGAUGCAGGAAGCUCUGGAAAUCACAGGACUAAACCCAUUCUUACAAGAGUUAGAGCCUAGAUUUGCUGAGCAAAGCUCACCUCCAUCCUUGGAAGUACUCGGAAUCAUCCUUGGUUAGAGUGAACUGGCCAGAUGCCUUUUGCAAUUAAAUUUAUUUUCUACCUUGAUUGGCUGAAGCUAUCCCAAGCUUCUCCAGUUCAGCCACUCUGGUUUCAAGAACCUGCACUCUGUCUCUGGACCAUGAGCUGCUUGCACCCACGAGGCAGGUAAUCAUACAUACUGCAUUCAGUGCA